rnacentral:rRNA from 1 species
AUUGAACGCUGGCGGCAGGCCUAACACAUGCAAGUCGAGCGGAUGAGGAGAGCUUGCUCUCUGAUUUAGCGGCGGACGGGUGAGUAAUGCCUAGGAAUCUGCCUGGUAGUGGGGGAUAACGUCCGGAAACGGGCGCUAAUACCGCAUACGUCCUACGGGAGAAAGCAGGGGACCUUCGGGCCUUGCGCUAUCAGAUGAGCCUAGGUCGGAUUAGCUAGUUGGUGAGGUAAUGGCUCACCAAGGCUACGAUCCGUAACUGGUCUGAGAGGAUGAUCAGUCAAACUGGAAAGGAGACACGGUCCAGAUUCCGACGGGAGGCAGCAGGGGGGAAUAUUGGGCAAUGGGCGAAAGCCUGAUCCAGCCAUGCCGCGUGUGUGAAGAAGGUCUUCGGAUUGUAAAGCACUUUAAGUUGGGAGGAAGGGCAGUAAGUUAAUACCUUGCUGUUUUGACGUUACCGACAGAAUAAGCACCGGCUAACCUCGUGCCAGCCGCCGCCGUAACAC